CACACUCACACAUGCACGCUCAUACCCGUGCUGAGUGAAUCCAGUUAAUUCCCAGAGAACUGCAAAUAAAGUGUCAGCACUUUAGGAUGCUGCAUCAAAUACCAUUCUACAAAAGAGGAGAGGUCCCCAACGCUUGGAGUGUAACUUGAGUGGAGUACCUGUUUUCCUUUACUUCUCCCACCUAGACCUGAGUGCUUCUGGCCCUGAAACAUGUGCAAAUUCAUCACAUGCUGGAGAGCUACGAUGCACCUUCUCUGCCCCAGCUAGACCUCCUAUUUGCAUGGUGGUUUUUAGUUUCAAAGCUCUUUCAAUAGUAUUGCCUCAUUUAAUCCUCCUACUAAUUCUUCAAGGAGGGCUGCAGGAACUUGGAGUACUACAUGUAAUAACAUACUGGUCAUCACUCUUGGCAAAUAUUGAAAGCUUCACUUGGUCCCUGACACCUAAAGGAUAAAGAAGAGCUUGAUGAUCUGAUGUGAGGUCUGGAGAUCAGAAGUCCAAAAAAUGGGUCUCACUGAGCUACAAUCAAGGUGUCAACAGGCUGUGUCCUUUCCUGGAGGCUCUGGGAGAGAAUCGGUAUCCUUGCUCUUUUCCCACUUCGAGAGGCUGCCACAUUCCUUGGCUGGUGGCUCCUUCCUCCAUCUUCAAAGCCAGCGACAGAUGGUGAAUGGAGUCCUUUCACGUGGCUCACUCUGCCCUUGUUCCUGCUGUCACAUCCCCCCUUCUCUGUCUGACUUUUCUGUCCCCUUCCUCCACUCUUGUCAUUACCUUGGGCCCAUCUGAAAAUCCUGGAUCGUCCCCCUAAUUAAAGUCAGUGGACUAGCAACUUUAAUUCCAUCUGCAACCUUAGUUCCCUUCUGUCAUGUAGCCUAACCUCAUCACGAGUGUCAGGGAUUUGCACGUGGACAUCCUCAGGGACCCCAUCGUGAGUGGUUGGGGGGAUGUGGCCAGAAAGAAGGCAGUGGCAGAAUGCCCAAGAACUCUGCAGC
rnacentral:lncRNA from 1 species